rnacentral:rRNA from 1 species
UACGUAGGGGGCAAGCGUUGUCCGGAUUUAUUGGGCGUAAAGAGCGUGUAGGCGGCCAGGUAGGUCAGCUGUGAAAACUCGAGGCUCAACCUCGAGACGCCGGUUGAAACCAUCUGGCUAGAGUCCGGAAGAGGAGAGUGGAAUUCCUGGUGUAGCGGUGAAAUGCGCAGAUAUCAGGAAGAACACCAAUGGCGAAGGCAGCUCUCUGGGACGGUACUGACGCUGAGACGCGAAAGCGUGGGGAGCGAACAGG